GAUGAACGCUAGCGGCAGGCUUAACACAUGCAAGUCGAGGGGUAACAGAAUAGCUUGCUAUUGCUGACGACCGGCGCACGGGUGCGUAACGCGUAUACAAUCUACCUUAUACAGGAGGAUAGCCCUAAGAAAUUGGGAUUAAUACUCCAUAGUAAUAUAAUACUGCAUGGUAUUAUGUUUAAAGUUACGGUGGUAUAAGAUGAGUAUGCGUCCUAUUAGCUAGAUGGUAAGGUAACGGCUUACCAUGGCAACGAUAGGUAGGGGGCCUGAGAGGGUUAUCCCCCACACUGGUACUGAGACACGGACCAGACUCCUACGGGAGGCAGCAGUGAGGAAUAUUGGUCAAUGGAGGCAACUCUGAACCAGCCAUGCCGCGUGAAGGAAGAAUGUCCUACGGAUUGUAAACUUCUUUUAUUUGGGAAGAAACCCCCGCUCGAGUAGCGGGGCUGACGGUACCAAAAGAAUAAGGACCGGCUAACUCCG
rnacentral:rRNA from 1 species